GCUAAGACUGCGCAUGCGUGUUCGCCAACCACCUGUAUGUUGCCAGCCAGCAGUGUAUACUUCCGGUAUGGGCGUGUUCGCCAACCACCUGUAUGUUGCCAGCCAGCAGUGUAUACUUCCGAAGGAAGGUUUUGACCUGCCUGAAAGCGCAUUUAACCAGGUCCACAGCUACAGCAUGGGCUGUAUACAUUUCACUUCAAGAGAUCUGCAGUGCAGCUACAUGGUCAUCUCCGUCCACCUUCAUAAGACAUUAUAGACUGGACAUAGCAAGAAGCCCAGCCCUUGAUGAACUGUGUGGAGAACAAGGCUCUUUCUGUAGAUGACCAGAUCCUGGAAACUGCGAGUACUGAUAGAUGAGAUGAGCAGUCCAGCCUGUCCCUGAGGUGUCUAGUAAGAAUGCGCCAAGAAUCUUUCAAGAAAGCUCCAUCCUUCACAGAGCUCCCCCAAUUAGGGAUCAACGGAUGUUUACUGAUUAAACUCAACCUGUCUAGAUGAAACAAAAACUGCCUAUUCCAGAAUUUGAAGACCCUCCUCUUAAGGGGUCCUAAAACGCCAGAAGGCCAAAGAACCUCAUCAAGUGUAAUUUGGACCCGAGCCAUCUGUCUUCUUGGAUAUGAUUCUUUCUCUCUGGAAUGACGAACAACCUCAUAUCCUGGGCAUCCAUGACAAAUUCCAGGAAUCUUCUCACAAUGGCAGGAGAGAGUUGUGAUUUAUCCAAAUAGAUGAUCCAGGAAAUUACAGAAGAGCAUUCAGAUCUAGGCCUCAUGAUAAUGGUUAAUACCUAUUGAUAUCUGUUGGACUCCCAGGAGUGCACUUAUAGCGUCAAAAGUCCUGAUGAUUAGAGGUGGAGCUCUUCUGAAGUUGUUAGUGCCCGUUCCCUAGUAACAAAUCUGCCUGGACCUGAUAGGAUCUUUCCUCCCUCUGGUGCCUCCAAAAGGAAACUAGAAUAGGGUUUCCCAAGCAGGGUGCCUCUAGCUGUUGCAAAACUACCUUUGGCUGCCCAGGCAUGCUAGGAGUUGUAGUUUUGUAACAGCUCUAGGCACCCUGGUUGGUAAACAUGGACCUAGGAGAUUGAGGAAAGAACAUGCCCUUCUUGUCAGCACCUAAAGUAAAGAGUCAAGUUCCAGGCAAAGUCUCCUAGUGACAUCACUCUAGAUCAGACCUGCUUAAAGGAAAACGGUCACCCGUUUACCCACCCUAAACCCAAUACACUGGGUUAUAGUGCAGGUGAACAGGAGACUGAUGCAGGGUCUGACAUAUACUGUACAUACCUGCAAUCCAGCACCUGCUCCUCUGAAGAUCCUCUUCUUUCUUCUCUAAAUUGUGUGCUGGAGGCGGGCCCGUCGGCUGGAUUUGAAUAAUCAUGAUCGCAGGUCAAAUAAGCACUCACGUGACCAUCCACACUAGGAGCAUGGGGACGACUGACUUAGUCUAGCUCUCUACCUUGGUUUUACAGCCAAGGAGUAUGUUACCAAUUUAAUAGAGGACUGAACUAAUUAAUUGAUAAGGAGUUGCUCCAAGUCAGAAAACUUAUGGCGACAGGCAGUAUCGGUGGUGAAGGGUCAUAUUCCCUGCAGGUCAAAUACUUCCACUUAAAGGUCGCCUUACAACCACCAGAGCCCUGACCACCAAAAUCCAGAGAAGACACUUGGAAGAAAAAUCUAUAUUAGAAUGGAGCAAGCCAAAAAAGGAAGUGAGGAGGAGAAACCCCAGCUUGCCUUAAAGUCAACUGGUGCCAGAAAGUUAAACAGAUUUGUAAAUGACUUCUAUUUAACCCUUCUUAACCCUUCCAGUAUUUAUCAGCUGCUGUAUGCUCCACAGGAAGUUCUUUUCUUUUUUUAAUUUCUUUUCUGUCUGAACACAGUGUUCUCUGCUGACACUUCUGUCCAUUUCAGGAACUGUCCAGAGCAGGAUAUGUUUGCUAUGGGGAUUUGCUCCUACUCUGGACAUACAUUGACCUGCAGUGCAUUUUGUAAUAUUUCUUGAUUUGAGCUUAAAUGGGCACUGUCAGAUACAAAAACUUUUGAUAUGUUGUAAAGCAUGUAGAACCAAUAGGUGUGGCAAUUGCUUUCAUCAGAAAUUUUUCAGUAUUUCAUACUGAAAAAGCCAGUCAAACAACUGCCCCCGUGCCGGCUUGGACACAUACUAGUCCUGCUGUGUCCAUGCAUCAUCACCUACAUCAUGGACCCACUUCCUUGAUUGACAGCUGUGAGCACAGGGCUCACAGCUCGAGGUAAAAUCCUCCCACUGUCAGCUUGUGUCCCGCUACUGUCAGUGAGGACAAGCUGGGAGUUGUAGUUUUGCUAAUGCUAGGUGAGAUGCGAGUAGACAGCAUACUGAGGGAGGUGGCGGAGACCUGCACAGUGAGGCCACGCCCCCUCUUUGAGAGGAAUUCUGACUAGUGAGCUAUUUAAAUUGUGAUAUAUUAAAAAAAUGUUUUUUGUUGGAUCUGACAGGUACGCUUUAAGCUUUUCAGAUUUAAAGGGGUACUCCUUUGAAAAACUUUUUUUUUAAAUCAACUGGUGCCAGAAAGUUAAACAGAUUUGUUAAUUACUUUCAUUUAAAAAUCUUAAUCCUUUCAGUACUUAGCUGCUGUAUGCUCCACAUGAAGUUCUUUUCUUUUUGAAUUUCUUUUCUGUCUGACCACAGUGCUCUCUGCUGACACCUCUGUCAAUGUCAGGAACUGUUCAGAGCAGAAUAGGUUUGCUAUGGGGAUUUGCUCCUGCUCUGGACUGUUCCUGACAUGGACAGAGGUUCCAUAAAUACCUGUGGGUGAGGAUAUUUCAAUUGGUUAGUCAUAUUAAAAGUUUCAUGGAGGGGCAUUUACUAAGGGGUUUAGUCAGUUUUUUCUGACUAUUUUUGGCGCAAAAUUGUCGCAAUUGCGCCUACCCUAUAAAUUGUGCGACUUUCCCUAGCAAGAGCUAGAAAGUCAAAUUUUUUUUCCCGCUUAAUUUAUGCAAGUUUUCAGUUUUUACUUGCAGUGGUCAGGAAUUUAUUAACUGAGACAGUCGCAGUUGCGCAAUAAACUGUCGCAAAAGCCGUAAAAAUUGACUAAAUUUACUCCAGCUCCAACAUGGAGCAGGAAAAGCUACUGCCGCCCGGGCUCCGACAUACUUUCUCCCCGCUACCCUCAAUGCGCUACCGGGACACUACAGUG